CCCGAGGGUGUUGGGCUUCAUGAAUGACAUAUGCAGACUGGGUGCACCUGUCACAGGAGAAACUCGGUUCUUCUUGCCAAUGCAGUGAAGGAUUACAGAU